AUGGGUAUAGGUUAGUGGCAGACUCGUUGAUUUCCACCCAAAAUGCGUCAGUUCGAUUCUGACUGCCCAUA
rnacentral:tRNA from 1 species